GACGAACGCUGGCGGCGUGCUUAACACAUGCAAGUCGAACGGAAAGGCCCCUUUGGGGGUACUCGAGUGGCGAACGGGUGCGUAACACGUGAGUAACCUGCCCUUGACUUCGGGAUAACUUCAGGAAACUGGGGCUAAUACCGGAUAGGAAUCCUUGCUGCAUGGUGGGGGUUGGAAAGCUUCGGCGGUUUUGGGUGGACUCGCGGCUUAUCAGCUUGUUGGUGGGGUAGUGGCUUACCAAGGCUUUGACGGGUAGCCGGCCUGGGAGGGCGACCGGCCACAUUGGGACUGAGGUACGGCCCAGACUCCGACGGGAGGCAGCAGUGGGGAAUAUUGCCCAAUGGGCGGAAGCCGGAUGCAGCAACGCCGCGUGCGGGAUGACGGCCUUCGGGUUGUAAACCGCUUUCAGCAGGGGCGAAGCUUGUGGUGACGGUACCUGCAGAAGAAGCACCGGCUAACUACGUG
rnacentral:rRNA from 1 species